rnacentral:rRNA from 1 species
AUCCACAGCCAUGUCACCCUGCAGCCCAAGACCGGUUACUCACUGAAGCUAAGCAGGGCUGAGCCUGGUCAGUACCAGGAUGGGAGACCACUAGGGAACACUAGGUUGCUGUUGGAA